AAUCAACGCUGGCGGCGUGCCUCAGACAUGCAAGUCGAACGAUUAAAGCUCUCUUCGGAGAGUGCAUAGAGUGGCGCACGGGUGAGUAACACGUAAGUAAUCUACCCUCGAGUGGGGAAUAACGUCCGGAAACGGGCGCUAAUACCGCAUAAUGCAGCGGCAUCAUAAGAUGACAGUUGUUAAAGAUUUAUCGCUUGAGGAGGAGCUUGCGGCAGAUUAGCUAGUUGGUAAGGUAACGGCUUACCAAGGCUACGAUCUGUAACCGGUCUUAGAGGACGGUCGGUCACACUGACACUGAAUAACGGGUCAGACUCCUACGGGAGGCAGCAGUCGGGAAUUUUGGGCAAUGGGCGAAAGCCUGACCCAGCAACGCCGCGUGAAGGAUGAAGUAUUUCGGUAUGUAAACUUCGAAAGAAUAGGAAGAAUUAAUGACGGUACUAUUUAUAAGGUCCGGCUAACUACGUGCCAGCAGCCGCCGUAACAC
rnacentral:rRNA from 1 species